rnacentral:lncRNA from 1 species
UGAAAACUCACCAGUGAUCUCAGAGGAAAGCCAGAUGGCAGGAAGGGCUGUGGGUCCCCUGCCCAGCCUCCAGGUCACCCCUGUCUGUCCCUGGCUGCCUUUCUGUCUGCACUGCCUUCUCCUGCACCUGCCCCCUCCCUUGGCUUUCACUGUGGCUUUUCCAUCCCAGGAGUAUCUCUACCAGGGAGCAGGAGGCCAAGCCCGGGCCAGCCAGCCUCAGUCAGAUCAAACGCUUCCAAGUCGGCUGCCUCUCCCAUUACGGAAUUGCUGACACCACCACCAGUGGAUUCACGCCACUGUCACUGUCACUGCUGGCUACCCAGAGUGCCUGUCUUCCAGGAGUCUACCCAGAAGAAGGG